rnacentral:rRNA from 1 species
UCGGGAAUUUUGCGCAAUGGGGGAAACCCUGACGCAGCAAUACCGCGUGUGGGAUGAAGGCCUUCGGGUCGUAAACCACUUUUUUCGGGGACGAUAAUGACGGUACCCGAAGAAUAAGCCACGGCUAACUACGUG